rnacentral:ncRNA from 17 species
GGGUGUUCGUCUCCGAUGAGAGAGGGCAGGGUUCAACACUGGUCGGGCCGCCAGUG